rnacentral:sRNA from 1 species
ACAUUAGCAGAUGUUACUUAGACCUAUUCGUCGACUCUGUCUCCGUCUCCAACAAUACGAACUGGAACGUCUCAUUGGUUGCUGAUAGUCCUUUCACAUUUUGUCAGUUAUCUCUCUUCACAGUUAACGGCCAACUCUUACAAGGAGGUAGGGUUAUGGCUGACAGGCUGAGUCAACCACACCCUACUCUUGUGAGCAAUUAGUUAAUCACACACCAAUUUCAACAGUCGGCUUCACCACGCGGAAGCUAGACAGCAUAAAAGAUGGCCAUGUGGUUUGGGACACCGGGGUCAAGAUCAUUGCCCGCGUCCAAGCGGGCACUAGUCUUAAAAAAAAGGGAUUGUUGAGGGUGACAGGCAGUGAUUUGCCGGUUAGGUUUCUGUUGGAUCCAGAAGGGAACAUGAAAGGAUCGUUGGUCGGAAACAUGAAACGUUGUGAAUACUUGUUUAACAGCAGCUUGGAUAAUUCCCUUUAGCCUUGGGCUAGCUUUUGGUUAGAAUGUUAUGAACGGUGACAGUGGUUAUGAUUGAGAGGAACAUAUGUGGUGGUCCCAAAUAUUCGAGUUAUCUUUUUAUAUUGUUUGUUAUCUAUAGGCUUAUUUAUUGUUGUUUUUUUAACUUCAUCGUUUAUUAGUUUGCAAUCCCUCAAAUAUGAGUUUUCUUAGACCUCGAAUUGACUUACAUUGCAUAGUAAAUAUAAGAGCUUGAAAAUCCCCUUCUAAGAGUGACAAAACUUUUACUCAUUUAGUUUUGACCCAUUCCUUUAACCACACCAUUUUUUUUUUUUUAAAACUCUAUCGGCUGAUCCGGUCAGUCCCGGUAGAAAUGCACUGAAAUACUUUAGAGUGGACUUCUUUCAGAAGGAUCACCACACUGUCUGUUCCGAGUUUGAAUGCUUUCAGACUAAUGCUAGGGGAUAGUCAAACCACCUACAUUUCUGACUACCAGAUAAACCAAUUAGGUCAAGACCCAACUGACAGACUUUCCAAACAAAUGUAAUUUUUUGUUUCCAGAGAGGAUCGAACUCAAGUCUGAGAGUUUCACCUUUCCCCAAAGUUUCCCCUACCACUGGACCACAGAUGCUUGGGCUUAAACACACCAUUCUCAUCGCGUAUGAUCUAACCAGACUUAAUACAUCCUUCUUGUGAUCUCACACAAUGUUUGUUCUCAUCUUUUUAGUCCAAUGUUGUAUAACGUGCUAGGCGCUUGUUGGUAGCACACCUAGAUGAACAAA